GAGGUGCAACUUUGAGGAGGGAUUCUGUGACCUGAUCCAGAGCUCAGAGACAUUAUCUGAAUGGACUAGAACAACUGAGGUCCCAGGACUCAACCACGACCACACCAACACAUCAGCCUAUUUUCUGACCCUUCUACCUGUUGGUGGAAAGAGAAUCACAGCAGACCUGAAAAGUCCUGUGUUCCUGCCCACUCACACUUGCCAGAUGAGUUUCUAUCAUUAUGUUGAGGCAACACAUGGAUAUCUUGAGGCCCUUAUUCAAACUCACCCACUGAGGCAGAGC